rnacentral:RNase_P_RNA from 15 species
GUCUUCUGGGAAGGUCUGAGUCGCUGUGUGUUGAAAGGCGAAACGCCAUUCUAAUGUGCUUACAACGCAUUGGAAUCGCUCAGGAACCAGAAACGAUACUGUGAUCCACACAGAUGAAACGUGCUUGAGUGGCGAAACAAUCUGGGAAUGAAGUGUAAUGGAUGGGGGGGUCCACGGACUCGUACUGAAUUCAGACUA